AAAUUUGCCCACAAACAACACCUCAUAAUUAAGAUUAGUAUAAUACUAUUGAUCCUUUUGCAACAUCAAUUUUAGAGAUUCUCUUAUUCUACAAUACUAGAGAUUUUUUUCCGCGCUUCACGCGGAUUGUGUCUUAUAAAUUUAUUUUAUUUAUAAUAAUAUUUGUCAGUCUUUUUCUUUUACAUUAACUUCUUGUUUUUUCAAUAUUAGUUUUUUUAAUUUUAAUUUAUAUGUUUAUAAUUUUUUAUUUUUCUUGUUGUAGAUGGAGAAUUAUAUUUUUUAUUGAUGGUUUUUUGUAUGUGACAUAAACUUUUUAAAAUUUUAAAAUAAUAUUAUAUAUAGUACGAUUAACACAUUAAAGAAGAGAAACAUAUUCAUGCACAUUUUACACAGGAUUUAUAUGCAUAAUUUUAAACAUUAUAUAUGUAUAUUUUAUAAGUUUGAAACAUGUAAAUGCUUUCUAAAGCUAAAUACUUGUUCUGAGUUUACAUAACUUAUCGAAAGUUUUAUCUCUUUUUAAAUUCAAAUCACAGAAAAAAUAUCAAAAAGUCAGUAUAGAUGGGUUUUUGGGCUUUUAAAUCAAC
rnacentral:lncRNA from 1 species